UGUUGGAAGUUACAAUUGAAUAACUCUAUAAAGUGAAUAAACGUUGUAGUCAGUCUGAAUAAGAAGAAUAUAGUAAGCCUAGAUAAGUUUGUAAAACAUAUAAAUACGCCGUAUUUGUUCUAAAUAAAAUUAGUCUAUUCUGAGACGGCAAACUGGUCGUUUCAUUGUAGAUUCCGGAGUGGAAUGAAACCGUAAUUCCAACAGGUUAUGGGCCCAGACACAUUGAACUGUGGCAAUUAAUCUGCAGCGCCAGUUUGUACUGGAAGGGGUGUCAAUAACACUCGCUGUAUGAUUAAAUUGUGGUUGUUGUGUGUUCUGCGGAAAGUUUCGACGCUGGUUCGCGCUAUGGCAGUGGUGGCGGUAACUCCAAGUAUGGCGGUUGGUAUGGCAUCGUUUCGUCUGAGGAGGUAGUCACAUGGCAGAUGGUCGCGUCGAUGAUGGUCGAUGGUCAAGUCAAUGGCAGACGACAAAAUUGGUCGAGUCAUGGCAGAUGACAAAUGGUCACGUCGAUGACGGUCGGUAGGCGUAAUACUGGGUGAGCAGUGCAAUCUCACAAACGGUUCAGCAUCAA